ACUCCAUUCCACCAGAACCAUGGAUCAGCAAACACCCAGCUAGGGUGCAAGGUACCCUGUCUCCCUUUUUGCAAGUAUCUCCACUCCCCAUAAGGGAGUCUCUUGGAGGCCCUUUUCUUGGUUUUAUGGGGAGCAAAAAGUGUUUCACCUCAAGCUAGUAUUUGUUACAGGCCAAGAUUUCAAAAAUUCUACCCACUUUUUUUAUCCCUCUACUUAUAUAGACCCAGGGGCUUAGAGUUGUGGGUCCCAAAGCCAGUUUUGAUACCUCUUGAAAGUCAUGAGGAAUUCCAGUUAUUUAACAAAUAGAGUGUCUAAGACUUUAUUUUUAGCUUUGCAAUCUGAAUGCCCAUUCGGGGCAAUAAAAAAGUCCCACUCAACAUCUUCUUACAUAGGGAACUUGCUUUGGUAGAUCAAAUUUUUACUCCCAAUUCUUUUCCCCCAUGUAAUAUGAUUAUAAUCCACAUUCUUGCCAUGUCACUUUGCCAUGUCUUCUACUGUGAGAAGAGUAUACUUUCGCACUUUACUGACAUGGGUUUGGGUUUGGCCAUGUCAUUUGCCUUGGCCAAUGAAAUGUUAGCAAACAUGAUGAGUGCAGAGGCUUUAAAUGUACUAGGACAGUUUAGCAUUCCUCAUGUCCUCCUGCCAUUUGGCAUGAGAAGAAUGAGAAGAAUAUGUCCCUGGUAGCUGCUGGUAGCAUCUGGUGGAGAGAUGAGAGACACCUGGAGCAGACCUGAACUUGACCUACAGCAUGAAGGAGAGCCAAUCCCAGUUGACUGGCCACCUCAUAAGUAAGAUAAAUAUAGUUUGUUGUGUGAGCCACUACAAUAAUUAGGGCUAUUUGUUAGGCAGCAUUAUUGCUAUACAGUAGCAGCUAAUUAAUACCCUCGCUAUAUGUCCAACAUUGUGCUGAGCACUGUAUUGUCUCCUUUAAUUCAUUCCUUUUAACAAGUGUGUAAGAUAGAAUUCUCGUUAAUAUUAUCCUUGUUUUACAGGUUAGGAAACUGAGGUGCAGAGAAUUUUAGCACAAUUAGUAAGUGAAAGAGACAAGCUUCAAUCCCAGCAAUCUAGCUCCAGACCGAUACUCUUGCCACCAUGGAACAAAAAGCAGGAGACAAAGAUGUGGCUCUGUGCUCUUCUAAGUCUGCAUACUGGUACAGACCUCAGGCUCAAAACCAUUGUGACUAUUGAUAUCAUUUUCCUGUGUCCCCACCCAAAUCUCAUCUUGAAUUGUAGCUUUCAUAAUCCCCACAUGUCAUGGGAAGGACCUGGUGGGAGGAAACUGAAUCAUGGGGGCAGGUUUUUCCCAUGCUCUUCUCAUCAUAGUAAAUAAGUCUCACAAGAUGAUGGUUUUAUAAAGAGCAGUUCCCCUGCACAUGGUCUCUUGCCUGCCGCCAUGUAAGACAUGCCUUUGCUCUUCCUUUGCCUUCCUCCAUGAUUGUGAGGCUCCCCCAGCCACAUGGAACUGUGAAUCCAUUAAACCUAUUUUUCUUUAUAAGUUACCCAGUCUUGGGUAUUUCUUCAUAGCAGUAUGAGAACAGACUAAUACAGCCGUUUAUGAGUUCCCUAUCAGUACAAGCCUGACCAGACUGCAAGGGCUGAGGCAAUUUUUCUAGCUCUGUCAGUGCAUGCAAAGAGGAUAAGACAGGCUUCCCUUCCAGAAUGCAUGACCCUUCUCUGAACUUUGAGUAGGGAAAGUCCCAUGGGGAAUUCUAACCAAGAAACAAUCCUGUCAUUGUGAAGUGCAGUCAUACAACGUUCUGCACGGGAUGCAGAGCACACCUCAUUCUGAGAAUGCAAGGUCAUGUUCUUUAGCAAAAUGUUCUUCAUAAUUGUGAUUCAACAAUGUACCCCUUUCUUUAACCAAGUUAGGACUUCUGAUGAGCAGCAGUUGGGCUUAAAGGUCUUCAAAUUAUAAGCAAGCUAGAAAUUCUGAAGCAUAUAAUAAUGUAUUAUAUAUGUAUAUUUAUGUGUGUGUGUAUGUGUGUGCAUGUACUCUGUUAAGGUGUAUGUGAAACAAAGCUUCUUUACAAACUUCUACACUAUACACCCUGAGGGCAGAGAUCACGUUUUCCUUACCUGUCAUUAACUCUGAUGCCUAACACAAUGAGAAGUCAAUAAACAUUUGCUGAAUAAAUAAAUAAAUGUAAAAGGCAUUUUAGGGAGAAUUAUAUCUUUGAAUUUUGCAUAGUUUAAUUCUUAAAAUGUAAGACUAGGGCAAGCAAGGAGAUGGUUAUAAAAAUGUGAACCCCUUAGAAACCCCUUAGAAAAAAAUAAGGAAGGCCAGGCGCAGUGGCUCACACCUGUAAUCCCAGCACUUUGAGAGGUCUAGGCGGGUGGAUCACUUGAGUUCAGGAGUUCAAGACCAGCCUGGGCAACAUGGUGAGACCCUGUCUCUACUAAAAAUACAAAAAAAAAAAAAAUAGCCAGGCAUGAUGGUGGGUGCCUGUGGUCCCAGCUACUCAGGAGACUGAGGUGGGAGGAUUACUUGAGCCUGAGAGGCAGAGGUUGCAGUGAGCCAAGAUCACACUACUGUACUCCAACCUGAAUAACAGAGCAAGACUCUGUUUCAAAAAAAAAAGGAAGGGGAGAUGGAGAAAUAGCCCACUUUCAAAGUCGUCAACACUCACCAACAAAGGUAGCACUUUGUAAUCUUUCUUUCAGCAAGAGAAGCCAGCUCAGCGUGUGUAGUGGACAUCUGUUGGCUUUGCCUGCUCAGGACCCAUGUCCUCUUCUCUCAGUAACAACUCUCCAGU
rnacentral:lncRNA from 1 species